rnacentral:rRNA from 1 species
AUGACAACCUUAAAUUUCGCCAUUCUAUUGGUGAUUUUUUGGUAUUUCAUUGCAGGAGACACCAAAUGUAGAGUCACCAUAUCUAACUUUUACUUUGACAUGGCUGGGUGUUCGUCUUCUACAUAUCUGUUUUAUGCUCUAUUGUCUACUUACCAACAAGAAGAUAAGUUGAAUGCUUCACCUUGGCAAAGUGCAGCUGUGAACGUUUUGGUUCUUCUGGAUUUUAAUUUGUUAAAUGGUUCUGUUGUGAUAUAUAUACUAUACUUAUUCAGACAGGGGGCACUAAUUUAUCUUCCAGCUGGUUAA